rnacentral:rRNA from 1 species
UACGUAGGGGGCAAGCGUUGUCCGGAUUUAUUGGGCGUAAAGCGCGUGUAGGCGGCUUGGUAGGUCAGCUGUGAAAACUCGAGGCUCAACCUCGAGAGGUCGGUGGAAACCGUAUGGCUAGAGUCCGGAAGAGGAGAGUGGAAUUCCCGGUGUAGCGGUGAAAUGCGCAGAUAUCGGGAAGAACACCCGUGGCGAAGGCGGCUCUCUGGGACGGUACUGACGCUGAGACGCGAAAGCGUGGGGAGCGAACAGG